CCCCUAGAUGUUCUGGGCCGCACGCGUGCUACACUGACACUUGCAACGAGUACUUUGCUUUACCGAAAGGUAAUGCUAAUCAUCAAUAAGUGUCGUGAUGGGGAUAGAUCUUUGGAAUUAUGGAUCUUGAACGAGGAAUGCCUAGUAAGCGUAGGUCAUUAGCCUACGCUGAUUAAGUCCCUGCCCUUUGUACACACCGCCCGUCGCUCCUACCGAUUUCGAGUGGUCCGGUGAAACUUUUGGACCGUGCGACUUUAUUGUUGUCACGGAAAGUCAGUUAAACCAUACUACUUAGAGGAAGGAGAAGUCGUAACA
rnacentral:rRNA from 1 species